CUUGAUGAUCUGGGCACUAUUUGAUUUAUGUGAGCUUGUAACUGCCCUUGCUUUGACUGGAGAGGGCUGCGUGGGAAGUUUGUCUCUAAGAUAAAGAUGAAGCAUUGCUCUGCAGAGUGUCUAUAGCCUAAGUUUAUGCAGAGCGCCCCCUCUUUCCACUCUUUGAUAAAUAGGGAAUCGGCUCAGUUGCCACAGUUAGAAAGUUAAAGUCAAUGCUAAAUCUAUCUGUAUUCAUUCUGUCAGGAAAAGAACAAUCUCUAGUAGUAUCACUGAACUCAUCUACUAGUGAAAAAAUGAAAAUUGGCCAGAGAAUGGCCAGUACUUAUGUCGCUGCAUCUAAUGGAUAUUCUUUGGCUGAACCAGUGCAGCACUAUGGGCCAGGAAGAACACUGUGUAAUUUGUGGUGAUAAAACAUCAGGAUAUCAUUACAAUGCACUUACUUGUGAAGUUUGCAAAGGAAUGCUUUUCUUGAAAACAAAUAGGAGAUCGGCAAGUGAAGAUAAUCACUGACGAUGGCAUUUUCAAAGAAUUCAGAAACACAUGGAAUGAACUCAAGAGGAACAUCAGCUCAUUGACAACAUUGUGGCCACUCAUCAAAAAUAUACAACUCCUUUAGAAGUAACAGAAAGAUUUGUAUGUGUUCAUUAAUGACAAGAAAUAAUUUGUAAUUAAUUAUGUUAGAAAAUAACAGCAUAAUCAUAAAAGUUUAAAAUUUAAAGUUAUUUGAAAGAAAGAAAUUACAAGUUUUAUUUUUUUGUUGGUUAGCUGCAGGGAUAUGCAAAUCCUGAACUGAUCUUUCUGCAACUCUCAGGGAUAGUCUUACAUAAAAAGAGGUUAGUGGAUUUCACCAAGGGACUUCCAGAUAUCACACUGCCUUUGGAAAAAAUUUAAGUAAUUUAAUAUGUAAUUUUUAAAAAGUUCCUUGUUUUAAAGGAAGGUUGAAUUUUAAGAAGACAAAACCCUCUAGUUUUCUACCAAAACUACCUCUAAAUGAAAAACACAUUGACUUUGUUUGGUUUAAUCAAUCAGGUGGAUGAAAAUAUAAAUAUUUAAAAAUAUUAUUCAAGUGACUUCAAAGACUUAGGGUUAAGACAAACUAAGGUUGUAUGUUUUAUUUUAUUUUUGGAAAUAAAUUGUUUUGGUUUUUAGAUAAAACAAACAGAAUUCCU